CCUACGGGAGGCAGCAGUAGGGAAUAUUGGUCAAUGGAUGGAAGUCUGAACCAGCCAUGCCGCGUGCAGGAAGAAGGCCUUCUGGGUUGUAAACUGCUUUUGCCAGGGGCUAAAAAGCUCAUGCGUGAGAAAUUGAAAGUACCUGGUGAAUAAGCCACGGCUAACUACGUGCCAGCAGCCGCGGUAAU
rnacentral:rRNA from 1 species